rnacentral:tRNA from 1 species
GCGGCCGUGGUGUAACGGAAACACAGCGGUCUGUGACUCCGCAGUCGAGGGUUCAACUCCCUUCGGUCGCCCCA